rnacentral:rRNA from 1 species
GUCUAUGGCCAUGCCACCCUGAACAAGCCCGAUCCCAUCUGAUCUCGGAAGCUAAGCAGGAUCGGGCCUGGUUAGUACUUGAUGGGAGACCACCUAGGAAGACCAAGUGCUGUAGGCA